rnacentral:sRNA from 1 species
AGAAAGGGGCAGGCUGAGGCUGGGGGAGGGGCUCAAGGGAGCCCAGCUGGGAGGGCCCAGGCAGGCAGUGCGGAGCUGGCCGUGGGCUGCCUACCCUUUCAUCUCUGCAACUCCUUCCUCCCUGGGCCUCCCUUCUGGAGAAGGGCCAGAGAAUGUCGUCCCAGCCAGCAGGGAACCAGACCUCCCCCGGGGCCACAGAGGACUACUCCUAUGGCAGCUGGUACAUCGAUGAGCCCCAGGGGGGUGAGGAGCUCCAGCCAGAGGGGGAAGUGCCCUCCUGCCACACCAGCGUACCACCCGGCCUGUACCACGCCUGCCUGGCCUCGCUGUCAAUCCUCGUGCUGCUGCUCCUGGCCGUGCUGGUGAGGCGCCGCCAGCUCUGGCCUGACUGUGUGCGUGGCAGGCCCGGCCUGCCCAGAAAGUGGGACUGACUCCACCUCCUUGAUUUAUGGAAUACAGCUGGGAGGUAAUGGGGGUGCAGGGGCUGAGCAACUCCCUCCUGCCCUGUCCUUGCCUCUGUGCUAGCCCUGUGGAUUUCUUGGCUGAGGACAGGCCCCGGGCAGUGCCUG